rnacentral:rRNA from 1 species
CUUCGGAAUCUUGAGAGCGGCGCACGGGUGCGGAACACGUGUGCAACCUACCUUUAUCAGGGGGAUAGCCUUUCGAAAGGAAGAUUAAUACCCCAUAAUAUAUUGAAUGGCAUCAUUUAAUAUUGAAAACUCCGGUGGAUAGAGAUGGGCACGCGCAAGAUUAGAUAGUUGGUGAGGUAACGGCUCACCAAGUCAAUGAUCUUUAGGGGGCCUGAGAGGGUGAUCCCCCACACUGGUACUGAGACACGGACCAGACUCCUACGGGAGGCAGCAGUGAGGAAUAUUGGACAAUGGGUGAGAGCCUGAUCCAGCCAUCCCGCGUGAAGGACGACGGCCCUAUGGGUUGUAAACUUCUUUUGUAUAGGGAUAAACCUUUCCACGUGUGGAAAGCUGAAGGUACUAUACGAAUAAGCACCGGCUAACUCCGUGCCAGCAGCCGCGGUAAUACGGAGGGUGCAAGCGUUAUCCGGAUUUAUUGGGUUUAAAGGGUCCGUAGGCGGACUCGUAAGUCAGUGGUGAAAUCUCAUAGCUUAACUAUGAAACUGCCAUUGAUACUGCGGGUCUUGAGUAAGGUAGAGGUAGCUGGAAUAAGUAGUGUAGCGGUGAAAUGCAUAGAUAUUACUUAGAACACCAAUUGCGAAGGCAGGUUACCAUGUCUUAACUGACGCUGAUGGACGAAAGCGUGGGGAGCGAACAGGAUUAGAUACCCUGGUAGUCCACGCCGUAAACGAUGCUAACUCGUUUUUGGGUCUUCGGAUUCAGAGACUAAGCGAAAGUGAUAAGUUAGCCACCUGGGGAGUACGAACGCAAGUUUGAAACUCAAAGGAAUUGACGGGGGCCCGCACAAGCGGUGGAUUAUGUGGUUUAAUUCGAUGAUACGCGAGGAACCUUACCAAGGCUUAAAUGGGAAUUGAUCGGUUUAGAAAUAGACCUUCCUUCGGGCAAUUUUCAAGGUGCUGCAUGGUUGUCGUCAGCUCGUGCCGUGAGGUGUUAGGUUAAGUCCUGCAACGAGCGCAACCCCUGUCACUAGUUGCUAACAUUCAGUUGAGGACUCUAGUGAGACUGCCUACGCAAGUAGAGAGGAAGGUGGGGAUGUCGUCAAAUCAUCACGGCCCUUACGCCUAGGGCCUCGCACGUAAUACAAUGGCCGGUACAGAGGGCAGCUACACAGCGAUGUGAUGCAAAUCUCGAAAGCCGGUCUCAGUUCGGAUUGGAGUCUGCAACUCGACUCUAUGAAGCUGGAAUC